UCCAGACUCCUACGGGAGGCAGCAGUGGGGGAUAUUGCACAAUGGGGGGAACCCUGAUGCAGCGACGCCGCGUGGGUGAAGGAGCGUUUCGGCGCGUAAAGCCCUAUCGGCAGGGAAGAAGGAGGACGGUACCUGACUAAGAAGCCCCGGCUAACUACGUGCCAGCAGCCGCGGUAAUACGUAGGGGGCAAGCGUUAUCCGGAUUUACUGGGUGUAAAGGGGGCGCAGACGGCAGCGCAAGCCAGGAGUGAAAGCCCGGGGCCCAACCCCGGGACUGCUCUUGGAACUGCGCGGCUGGAGUGCAGGAGGGGCAGGCGGAAUUCCUGGUGUAGCGGUGAAAUGCGUAGAUAUCAGGAGGAACACCGGUGGCGAAGGCGGCCUGCUGGACUGCGACUGACGUUGAGGCCCGAAAGCGUGGGGAGCAAACAGGAUUAGAUACCCUUGUAAG
rnacentral:rRNA from 1 species